GAUGAACGCUGGCGGCGUGCCUAAUACAUGCAAGUCGAGCGAACGGACGAGAAGCUUGCUUCUCUGAUGUUAGCGGCGGACGGGUGAGUAACACGUGGAUAACCUACCUAUAAGACUGGGAUAACUUCGGGAAACCGGAGCUAAUACCGGCUAAUAUUUUGUACCGCAUGGUUCAAAAGUGAAAGACGGUCUUGCCGUCACUUAUAGAUGGAUCCGCGCUGCAUUAGCUAGUUGGUAAGGUAACGGCUUACCAAGGCAACGAUGCAUAGCCGACCUGAGAGGGUGAUCGGCCACACUGGAACUGAGACACGGUCCAGACUCCUACGGGAGGCAGCAGUAGGGAAUCUUCCGCAAUGGGCGAAAGCCUGACGGAGCAACGCCGCGUGAGUGAUGAAGGUCUUCGGAUCGUAAAACUCUGUUAUUAGGGAAGAACAUAUGUGUAAGUAACUGUGCACAUCUUGACGGUACCUAAUCAGAAAGCCACGGCUAACUACGUG
rnacentral:rRNA from 1 species